CCUUUAUUUAUUGGCGGCCUUUUUUCUUAUUAGAGGAACUCGUCCCAUAAUCGUCACUCCUCGUUAAUUUUUACUUUUUUUUUUCUCUUAUACCGCCGUCUAAAGAUUAAAUUCUUUUUCAAGAAAAAAUGAUUUUGUUAAGUCAGGUAAAGGUGAGGAAAAAUAAAAAAGAGAAGAUAAGUUACUUAUGAAAUUUAUUUUUGGAUACACAAUUUAACUAUUCGUUGAAAAAGGAUUUAAAAGUAAUUUUUUAAUAAU
rnacentral:rRNA from 1 species